CCAUAUUAUCUAAGGCUCUUUAAGUCCAGGUCAAACAUCUUUCUUUGCCUUGAAGCUCAGGCUAACACUCGGUGCUUAGAAAAAGCUGAGUGCUCCCAGUAACUUCCACAAGCCUCCACCCUCACCCAGCUCUAGCCAGGAAACCCAGCCUGUCCCCUCACAAAGACCUCACCUGCAGUCUCUUACAUCAGACAGCAUGAUCCAAGGUGAAAGGAAGUUAGCAGGAACAGGCAAAGAAGGCAGAGGACAGGAUGCCAACAUCUGUUUCUAAUCUACAGAAAUCUAAGCAGCAAGGUAACAAGCUUUAGAUGGGGCUAGAGUCUGGAUCUACCCAGUGGAAAUAAAAUCUAUUUGUAUUUUUAAUCAAAUGGAUUGAAGAAUGAAGAGGUCUCUGCAGCUCUAAUCCCAGUGAUUGAAAGAUGUUCCUAUCGCUCUUUCCUCCACCUCAGCACUCCAGGAUUUCUCCUCCACCUCAAGCCUGUCUAGUUCCAGAACUACAGAUGAAGUAUCAAUACCAAAGAACUGAACUGGACAUCUACUUCAUUUCUUCAAUUUAAACCAUUUUUGAUGCCUCUUCUCCCUCGAGGGCCUGUUUUUCCUUUUUUUUUUUUUUUUUAACCUUCAUCCUAAGGGCCUCUGGUUCUGUCCUUCAGUUCUCUCUACUCCAAAAGAAAAAAGGGACUGUGUUGAAUCAACAUACAGGGGACCGUGGGAAGGGCCAGUUCACCGUAAGUAACUUACCUACACAUUCUAUAGCACACACAGUAUGUCGUCUGCAUGCAGAAAGUAUAUUCUGCCACCAAUGCUUCUGAGCCUGGUCAGAAACCCCAUAGGCUGGCACUAUACUCAAGCUGCUGAAGCAAUCUACAGAUAUGUUUCCCAGAGCACUCAGGAGGCUUUCCCAACCUGCCGGGGAGCGUGAGAGCACAUCACACAGCCUCAAAGGCACCACCAUCUGCGAGCAUCUGAUCCCUUGCUUUUUCUAUCAUUUCUAUCGGCCCAGAAGGGGCAAGCCAAGACUCCUGUCAUCCACUCUUCAGAUCCCCACGACCUGUUCCGCUCAAGCUUAAAAUCCUGUAGUGCACAUACAGAAACUGUGGCUCUAUAGUCCUAUUCGAUCUCAUAAAAGGACCCAAAAUACCAAAAAAAAAAAAAAAGAAAAGAAAAAGAAAGAAGAAAAAAUGUUCAGCCCAAACCAAAUAGCCUUAUUUUAGCUGGAAUUCUGCCAGACAGCCACAAGAGGCUGGCGAGGUACAACUGGGAUGGAGUGGAGCUCAGCAAAUCUCAUUGAAAACCCAGUAAGGUUCCAUGAAUCAGGUCGAAUGAAAAGGUACACCUCUUUUUAGAGUGAGGUUUGUCUGCGGUUUGAAAAGUCAGAUCCAAAGGACUCUUUGCUCCUUCGUAAAGGUUAAACUGACGAAUGGGGGGGGGGGGGAGGAUUUAAACUCCUGGAGAUUUACAGGCCACUUUUAUAAAGGUGUUUUUAAAAACGAAAACCCUUUUCAGCCCUUAUUUCUAGAAAGUAAUUUUGUUGCAGGUGAUCUUGCAUGUACUUGGGCACCAAGGAAAAAAGACACCUGUGCCUAACAGGUCGGUAACACUACCAACGUGCCCCGGGUACCAAGGGAACGAGAGAUGCUCUGAUUUCUGGAUAAAAGAUUUUCUGCAGUGCCAGAUAUCCAACUGCACCACCAGCAUGACACACCUGCCCAUUAGCCUGUAUCUAAAGUUCCCGGAGAAAUGAAUGAAAAUUGUUUGCUGGGAAGCUUAAUUGAAAAAUCUGUUUGAAAUGGCCCAGGAGGUAGCCCAAAAUAGGCUUCACACUAAUGUAUAUCAGGAUCUUGGUAAUGAUCCAGCCGGAGAAGGACUGACUCCAAACUGCAUGUGCAUGAGAGCUAUUCUUCACUGAACUAAAAAUCAACCUGAGAUGCCAUUUUGAAGUCUUUGUUUGAAAGGAACUAAAAUUAAACCAUAAAGACAAUUUUUCGAGCCGUGUUUUCUGAGGCACACCUAUUCAAGCCGAUCUUAAUUCUGUUAUGCUUUGGACAUAUUGACUUUUUCCUAUGCCAGAAGAGAAAAUACUGGACACUCUAUUUUGAGUUGUUACUACCACCCCCUCAACGUACCUCCCACACUUCCUAAGCACCUAUUCUGGUUUAUUAAAUUCAACAAGCCAUUUGCAUAAGAUAUUGCAUAAUAUUUCAUUUACUGUCUGUCUUUUCCUUUGGAAUACAAGCCACAUGAAGGAAGAGAUUUUAGUCAGUGCAAUCAGUACCAUAUCCCUAGGGCCUAGCAGCACACAUUUUGUAUUCAACAGAUGUUACUGAAUGAAUGAACUGGCACUAAGUAAAACAUCUACCUCUAUAUAUAUAUAUAUAUAUAUAUAUAUAUAUUCCAGCUCAGAUUCAUGCAAUGUGCAUUUUAAGUACAUCUAUAUAGAAUCUUUUGUUUAUCCUUUUACUUUUGGAAGUGCAUAAGCAAUGCUUCUUACAAAUAAUAAAGGUAUGACGAAAUUUU